rnacentral:rRNA from 1 species
UACGAACCGUGCAAACGUUGUUCGGAAUCACUGGGCUUAAAGGGCGCGUAGGCGGGCCAGCCAGUCUGUGGUGAAAGCCCCCGGCUUAACCGGGGAAGUGCCGUGGAUACUGCUGGCCUCGAGGAGGAUAGGGGCAUCUGGAACGGUCGGUGGAGCGGUGAAAUGCGUUGAUAUCGACCGGAACUCCGGUGGCGAAGGCGAGGUGCUGGGUCCUUUCUGACGCUGAUGCGCGAAAGCCAGGGGAGCAAACGGG